AUUGAACGCUGGCGGCAGGCCUAACACAUGCAAGUCGAACGAGUGGCGGACGGGUGAGUAAUGUCUGGGAAACUGCCUGAUGGAGGGGGAUAACUCCUGGAAACGGUAGCUAAUACCGCAUACCAUCGGAUGUGCCCAGAUGGGAUUAGCUAGUAGGUGGGGUAAAGGCUCACCUAGGCGAAGAUCCCUCGAUGGUCUGAGAGGAUGACGAGCAAAACUGGAACUGAGACACGGUCCAGACUCCUAGGGGAGGCAGCAGGGGGAAAUAUUGCACAAUGGGCGUAAGCCUGAGGCAGCCAUGCCGCGUGUAUGAAGAAGGCCUUCGGGUUGUAAAGUACUUUCAGCGGGGAGGCGUUACCCGCAGAAGAAGCACCGGCUAACUCCGUGCCAGCAGCCGCGGUAAUA
rnacentral:rRNA from 1 species